AUGAGGACGCCAGCACGAAAGUGCGGCUGGAGGAGCCGAGAUGACAACUCUCUUCUCACCAGCAUCUCUGGGAGGCACUGGGGCGUGACCGCAGGAUUCUGGGGUGGCUCAGCGCAGCCUCCCUUCUUUAGACACCGGAACCCUCGCGAUUCGUUUCGCCGUUUUCCAGUCGGCGGUGAAAGCUCAGUACCCUGCCCCCCGGAAGUUGUUCCACAAUCGUUUCCGGGGCGGUGCGGGGUGGAGGAGGGCUCCGGAUGGGUCGCAGCCGCAGCCGCUCCCCGCGGCGGGAGCGUAGGCGGUCCCGGUCCACGUCCCGGGAGAGAGAACGCAGGCGCCGAGAAAGGUCCCGGUCCCGGGAGAGAGAUCGGAGAAGGAGCCGCUCUCGAUCCCCGCACAGAAGACGCUCCAGAUCCCCAAGACGACAUAGAUCCACAUCUCCUUCCCCUUUUUUAUAGUGUUCUUUGCAUAUGGUUUUAA
rnacentral:lncRNA from 1 species